AAAUGGGUACUUCUUUUUUAAUAAUACAGAUUUGAAAGUUACUUUGGCAUAUUUUAAAUUUGGGUCUAUUGAACAAUGUUGUGACUAAAUAUUAAACAUGAUUCCUAUACACUUAGAUGAUAACCAAUAUAUACUUAAAUUAAACCAACCAUAAUAUCGAAAUCUAUCUAACUUUAAUCUUAAGUCAUCUCUGACCGUCUGUCAUCUUCUCCAUCUUCUUCCCCUCUUCCAUCAUCUGACUAAUCAUAAUUUAAAAAUCAUGAAAGCUAUUCUUGAUGUUACCAAGCUUUUCGAUGCGGAGCGAGUACGAGGCGGAGCGAGACCUUCCUGUUAUUAUUUUCCAUUGGAUCUCCGUAGAUCUCACGAGAGUUAUUCCAGAUUUUUUUUUUUUUUUUUUUUUGAUAAUCCAGGGGUUCUCCACUUACGUGGGUCAUUCCCUUGGGUCCGGUUAGGCAGCGGUCCACUUCAACCGGGAGGGCUUUAUCUGGGCUGGGGACAAGGCCCAACACCUAGUACCGCAUUUGGUGACAGAAUGGACAGUUCGCCUCCGCCUGGCGUCAAACUCGUGAGCAUGACAAUUGGCCCACAGAGUUAUUCCCGAUGUUACCAAGCUUUGCGAUGAAUUCUUGAUAAGGAAGAUGUUAUAUGAGAACUUAGAAGUAUUCGUGGAACGAUUUGGAAAUUUCUGAAUCAAUUAUAUUGUUCCCACUGCAGAGAACGCUCCCAUUUGCUGCUGCUAAGCAAACUUGGAUACAUACUUAGUUGAUUCACUCUUACAUGUUAUUCAUAUGUUCUGAUGUUUUUCUAAAUAGGAUAUCGAGGAUGUGAUUGUAGUCAAGAAACUAUAGAAAAAUUCUUGGUUAUCACUGCUGAGACAAAGUAGCUUUAAUUCGCCACUGUCAGGGAAGUCUACUCAAAAGGGCUCACCUACAUUUUGGGAGAGUGCAUUAAGGUCGGACUCCACGUAGAGACGACAUAGAUGGUGACAAAGCUGUUCAGUGUUUCAGAAAUAAUCACUGAACAUCAUAGAUUUUUUAAGUCUGAAAAGAAUAAAUCUACAACAUACCGCCAUAUAUGUUACUAAAUUAAAGCCAUCCAAGUUAAGCGAGUUGACAGGUUUACAACACACUGUAUCAAUAUAUUUGUUUCUCCAGUAGCUCCUCGUGUCUUUAGAAUCAUUGCUUUGACUUUUUAACAACUACGGAAGUCAUU